rnacentral:rRNA from 1 species
GUGUCAGCAGCCGCGGUAAUACGGAGGGUGCAAGCGUUGUUCGGAAUUACUGGGCUUAAAGCGCGUGUAGGCGGGAUGCCAAGUGUCGUGUGAAAGCCCCGGGCUCAACCCGGGAAUUGCGCGGCAAACUGGUGUUCUUGAGGCAAGUAGAGGUGACUGGAACGACCGGUGGAGCGGUGAAAUGCGUAGAUAUCGGUUGGAACGCCGGAGGCGAAAGCGGGUCACUGGGCUUGUCCUGACGCUAAGACGCGAAAGCGUGGGGAGCAAACAGGAUUAGAUACCCGUGUAGUCC